rnacentral:sRNA from 2 species
ACUAACUGAUUUUUCUGUCUCUGCAAUGUUUCUUGUGGUUUAACUAGGACAAAAGUAUAGCAUAGUAUCCUUGUUUAGUAAUGAGCACGUGCUGUCUGCAGGCUUUGAAAUAGACACCCCAGAUAAAUUUGGAAGAACGUGCCUUCAUGCUGCUGCUGCAGGAGGUAAUGUGGAAUGUAUAAAACUCUUGCAGAGCAGCGGAGCAGAUUUCCAUAAAAAGGACAAGUGUGGGAGGACCCCUUUGCACUAUGCAGCUGCGAAUUGUCAUUUCCACUGUAUUGAGACAUUAGUGACCACAGGGGCCAACGUUAAUGAAACAGAUGACUGGGGACGCACAGCUUUGCAUUAUGCCGCUGCAUCAGACAUGGAUAGAAAUAAGACUAUCUUAGGAAAUGCCCAUGAAAAUUCAG